UGUUAUGGGUUUCUCUAAGUGUUGCUGUUUUAAGCCAUUGGUUCUCUUGGAGAAGCUUGUCAUGACUAGCUUCUUCAGUGAGUUCAACCACUGUCAUUGGACGAGCUCUGGACCUUGUUGAUGAGAAUGGCUGUGAUUCACUUUGGGGGAACUCUGGUCUUUCAUCAAGCAUCGCUUCCUGGCUCCAGAGGGGAAGAUAUCUGCUGUUUAGUCUCCAGGAGAAACUUGUCAUGCCGGCUCUCUGAGUGUUUCACUGUCACUUAGAAUUGUAACACUAGAGACAAGACUCACGUCUCAAGAAAAUGUUUUCGACAGCUGUAUCAGGGGUUCAGGUGGCCACCGGGGUGCGUGGAGAAGGCCCAGAAGCUGCCUUCCCUCUGUCGCCUGCCCGUGACCGACCACGCUGUCACGCGCAAUGGCUGAGCUGCACCUUGGCUGUGCACGUGUGCAGACCUUGAAAUUCCUCUUUACCGAUGAGGUAAGGUACAGGUUGAAGUAAAUUCUCUAAGGUCACACCACUAAUGGGCAGGAAAAAAUUGAGAUUUUUAUCACUGGGUUCAGAGUUCUCUCUAAGUGCAAAAUAAAUCCAAUUUAUAUGGCAUGAUCCUGGUUUUAUGUAUUAAAUUGAAGUCUCCAUAACGACCUUUAGACUUGAGAACAUGGUUUCUUUAAGAGCAGAAGUGGUGUGAGCUUUUACUGCUCUCCUUCCUAUUACUGUGUUCCACUAAAGUAAGUGUAUUAGAUUGAAGUGUUUUCUCCUAUUCUCUCUCACCGUUUUCAAAGCAAGGCUGGACAGUGAAAAUGCCUGCUCAUUGCUAGAGGUAUAGCUCAGCGGCAUAAAUGCCUGUCUGACGAGCUCAAGAUC